CCUACGGGUGGCAGCAGUGAGGAAUAUUGGUCAAUGGCCUUACGCCUGAACCAGCCAAGUAGCGUGAGGGAAGACUGCCCUAUGGGUUGUAAACCUCUUUUAUGCGGGGAUAAAGGUGUCCACGUGUGGAUGUUUGCAGGUACCGCGUGAAUAAGGACCGGCUAAUUCCGGUCCAGCAGCCGCGGUUAUACGGAAGGUCCGGGCGUUAUCCGGAUUUAUUGGGGUUAAAGGGAGCGUAGGCCGGUCUUUAAGCGUACCGUGAAAUUUUUGGGCUCAACCAUGAGUGUGCGGCGGGAACUGGAGUCCUUGAGUGCGCGGGAGGCAGGCGGAAUGCGUGGUGUAGCGGUGAAAUGCUUAGAUAUCACGAAGAACCCCGAUUGCGAAGGCAGCAUGCCGCCGCGUUACUGACGCUGAAGCUCGAAAGCGCGGGUAUCGAACAGGAUUAGAUACCCUAGUAGUC
rnacentral:rRNA from 1 species